rnacentral:rRNA from 1 species
GACGAACGCUGGCGGCGUGCUUAACACAUGCAAGUCGUACGGUAAGGCCCUUUCGGGGGUGCACGAGUGGCGAACGGGUGAGUAACACGUGAGUAACCUGCCCACAACUUUGGGAUAACGCUAGGAAACUGGUACUAAUACUGGAUAUGUGCUCCUGCUGCAUGGUGGGGGUUGGAAAGCUCCGGCGGUUGUGGAUGGACUCGCGGCCUAUCAGCUUGUUGGUGGGGUAGUGGCCUACCAAGGCGGCGACGGGUAGCCGGCCUGAGAGGGUGACCGGCCACAUUGGGACUGAGAUACGGCCCAGACUCCUACGGGAGGCAGCAGUGGGGAAUAUUGCACAAUGGGCGCAAGCCUGAUGCAGCAACGCCGCGUGCGGGAUGACGGCCUUCGGGUUGUAAACCGCUUUCAGCAGGGACGAAGCUUUUUGUGACGGUACCUGCAGAAGAAGCACCGGCUAACUACGUG